GAGAGAGAGAGAGAGAGAGUUUUAAGCAGAUAAAAAUGAAGAGAGACAGAAUUAAAAAUAGGGUUUACUUGCUUUGCUUGCAACCAUCAGUCAUCAAACUUUGGACGUGUCACACACAUUUGUUCUAAAUGCAACUUAAAGGUUUCAGCUCCGAAAUUAGUACAAUAACUAGACAUGGUUUCUUCCCAACAACCUGUAAUAUAAAAUUGUGUACUCCAACAUUUGAACCAAAACAGCUAAGAGACCAAGCAAGGCAUGAAGAAUAUUGGUAGAUAAUGUUACUUUUAUUCACUGAAGAAAAUGAUUGAAGGUAUGAUCAUGAGUUUAAAAACUCUCAAGUAGAUAAUACUUGAAAGAGUUCAUUUCUGUUAGUGUAGGUCUAGAGGCAGUGAAUGCACUAUGGAGGAUGGUCUGAAGAGCGCUAUGACCUGACAAAUUCGCAACAUUAACUGUAGCCUGUUUCUAUUUUCCAAUUCAACUAUGGUUCCUAUUUCGCCAAACUUCGAAACCCAUAUUGACAGAUCCCACAAACACCUGGCUUGAGAGCUUUACAAUUGAAUCAGGUGGGAAUUGGUAAUAUGGCAGGUUUUAAUUGGAACCCACUGAUGCAGUGUAGUGAAUCUUAGUUUGUCCUAUUCCAUAUAUAAUUACAAAGUAGUGCUUUGGCUUAGCGUUGAAAGUGAGACAAUAAGACUACUUUUAAGGGAAAAAGAAAAUACCAGUGAAGGUGAAGCCCUAAGUGAAAAUAUGCGAGGUGAAAUCCUUGUUGUUACGGGUCCCGGCCAUGGCCAUCUCUAUCCCUGCAUGCAACUCUGCAACCGUCUUACUAAACGUAACUUCCAUAUUACCCUCGUUACCUCCUCCACUCUCUCCCCUGCUAUUCCCUCCUCUUUUACUCAAAACCCACUUACCAGUAUCGCCCCCAUCGCUCCCUCCGGCCAGCAAUCCGCCCAAGACCUCCGCUUAUACCUCACCAGCCGCUGCAAUAUAUCUGAUUCUCCCCCGCCUCUAUGCGCUAUCAUUGACUUCCAAAUGGGCUGGACAAAACAUGUCUUUUGGAAAUUUGAUAUUCCUGUCAUCGGAUUGUUUACUUUUGGCGCCUGUGCUGCCGCCAUGGAGUGGGGAGCCUGGAAGGUCCAAGCUGAAGAACUCAUGCCCGGUGAAGCCCGUUUAGUCCCGGCAUUACCCCAAGAAAUGGCGAUUACUUGCUCCGAUCUCAAAAGAAAAAUUUUUGUGCCGCCUGGUGACGGCGGACUUGGGCGGGGCCCGCCAAUGCCCGGAGACCGGCCCCCAUGGGUGCCAGAAAUAGAAGGCUCAAUCGGGUUGAUGUUUAACACGUGCGAUGAUCUCGACGGUCAGUUUAUCAAAUACAUGGAGGAUCAGAUUGGUCUGCCAGCUUGGGGUGUGGGCCCACUUCUGCCCGAGAUGUAUUGGCAGCCGUCGCAUUCGCUGAUUCACGACCAAGAAAUAAGGGAGCCCAAACGGCAAUCUAAUUUAACAGAGGGUGAAGUGAUCCAAUGGUUAGAGACGAAGCCACGAGGCUCCGUAUUGUACGUUGCUUUUGGCAGCGAGGUGGGUCCUACUAUGGAGGAAUAUCAACAAUUGGCAAAUGGAUUAGGAGAUUCGACCCGACCGUUUAUCUGCGUGAUACAACCAGGAAAAGGCUCUUGCGGGUUGGAUAAAAAGGUUGGAGAUAGAGGUUUGGUAAUAUAUGGAUGGGCACCACAGCUGCUGAUACUGAGCCACGCUUCAACGGGCGGAUUUCUAUCGCACUGUGGAUGGAAUUCCACCAUGGAGGCCAUUGGACUUGGGGUACCCAUUUUGGCUUGGCCCAUUAGAGGUGACCAAUUCUAUAAUGCCAAGCUGGUAGUUAAUUAUCUCAAGUUAGGGUAUAUGGUAAGUGAUGAUUUAUCAGAAACGGUUAAAGAGGAUGACAUAGUUAAGGGAAUUGAAAUGCUGAUGGGAGAUGAAGAGAUGCACAAUAGAGCAAUCCUUAUCAAGGCAAAAUUGAGAGAUGAUGGUUUUCCAGCAAGUUCUGAGGCAGGAUUGGAUGCCUUUAGGGGAUUUAUCUUGAACCAAAAAGCAAUUAUUUACUAGUAAUUGUCUUCUCCUUAUAAUUAAUAUAAAUGCAGAUUAUUUAUUGCAUCUAGGAUAAGACAUCAAGAAUGGCUUGUUCUCCACUUGCACAUUCUUUAUACUACUCUUCCCACUUCAGUUUGAGUGGGGAUUCAAGAUGCAAGCAUUUUCUUUUGUAUAUUUAUAAAGGAUUAUUGUUUUUGAAGUAAUUCAAUUGACUGCU
rnacentral:misc_RNA from 1 species